CAACGGUGGAGCCUGCGGUUUAAUUGACUCAACGCCGGGCAGCUCACCGGAUAAGACAGCUGGAUGAUAGCCGGGCUGAAGACUCUACUUGACUAGCUGAGAGGAGGUGCAUGGCCGUCGUCAGUUCGUACUGUGAAGCAUCCUGUUAAGUCAGGCAACGAGCGAGACCCACGCCAACAGUUGCCAGCUCGUCCUCCGGGAUGGUGGGGACACUGUUGGGACCGCCUCUGCUAAAGAGGAGGAAGGAAUGGGCAACGGUAGGUCAGCAUGCCCCGAAUUAUCUGGGCUACACGCGGGCUACAAUGGGUGGGACAAUGGGUAUCGACACCGAAAGGUGAAGGCAAUCUCCUAAACCCAUCCGUAGUUCGGAUUGUGGGCUGCAACUCGCCCACAUGAAGCUGGAAUCUGUAGUAAUCGUGUCUCAAAAUGGCACGGUGAAUAUGUCCCUGCUCCUU
rnacentral:rRNA from 1 species